rnacentral:tRNA from 1 species
GGAGGGGUCGCAUAGUGGCCUAGUGCGGGCGCCUGCUAAGCGCUUGUUCGGUUUUUUCCGGACCGUGGGUUCGAAUCCCACCCCCUCCGCCA